UCUGCCUUUUUUGGGGCCGAUGCUGCAGCAUUGCUUCCCCGUUGCCCGUCUUUGUCAGAUAUUGUGCAACUGUACAAACAGAUGAGCUCCAACUCACCUGCCACUCAGACACGUUAUAUAAUUCUGGACAGAGCUGAACGCAUGAGAGAUAUGGAUUUCAGUCUGCUUCCUGCUCUUCUGUGCCUACAGGAAUUGCGGAGCUUGCGCAGAUUCUGUCUCGGGAUCAUCACCCAUCCUACACACCUGAGCUCUACGCUUCCUACAUAAACAUCCUGCUGGGGGUCUUCUUCUCAGUAUGCAGAGAUCUGAGAGAGCUCAGGC